rnacentral:rRNA from 1 species
CGCGUAGGUGGCCUGCUAAGUCGAACGUGAAAUCCCCGGGCUCAACCCGGGAACUGCGUCCGAGACUGGUAGGCUUGAAUCCGGGAGAGGGAUGUGGAAUUCCAGGUGUAGCGGUGAAAUGCGUAGAUAUCUGGAGGAACACCGGUGGCGAAGGCGGCAUCCUGGACCGGUAUUGACACUGAGGCGCGAAAGCCAGGGGAGCAAACG